ensembl:lncRNA
UUUGUUUUUCUUUUUGCAGGGAUAUUGCGAUAAUUACUAAGGCGAUCACUUUCAAAGCACAACCCUCUUACCUAAAUUAAUGAUGGAAAAUACAUUUUUAACUUAAAAAAAUUUAAGUAACUCACUAGCAAUAGCUAAUUCUAUGACAGAAACCCAACCCUGUUACUUUCAAUUCCAUUACUCACUUAAAAGCAAAAUGCAAACAUUCUCAGGAAAGUAACCUUUUAACAGUUAAAUGCAUGUUUACUUAGAUUAAUUAAAUUAUUUUUAAAAGUUGUAAAUGGCACCCAAUUGUGGAGUCAAUCUACUGAAAUGGGCUACAACAUGGCCUAUAUAUAUAGCAGCUGAGUCUAAAAUAGUGAAGACAAUUAUGCCCGUUUCCAAGUUGUAACACUACAAAAUAUGUUCAAGGGGGUUAAUGCUUAAGCAAAGCACUACAGCUUCUCUGAAAUCUGUGUGUGAUACUUGCCAGUUUUUUCCUACUGAUAUUAAUGGUUCCAGUGUUAAGUGCUUACUUUAAAACUUUUGCUGCAUCAUCCUUCCACAUAUCCUUCCCCUCUAUUCCUGAUUCAGAAGCAGAGCUGGCUUUUUGGCGUGGUGCCAGUGUGUAAUCCUGGAGUUCAGCCACAUGUCUAUAACACUACAUUCUCUUUUUCCUUCGGUUCUCCUAUCGGACACAUCAUGAACACUCCUGUGGUCACACCACAAUCUCAUUUAGCAAACACAGCUCUGUUUCUGGAAUCACUCCCUGACCUUUCACUUAGUAACACCAAGCUGCCAAUUUCAAAGAUGCCAUCAUCUCUGAUUAAAUGUUUGUGUAAGGGCAAGAGCAUGCACGCAGUUGAGUAUUUAUAGAUUUCAUACUACUACUGGGAAUUUGUUCUUUGGUCUGAUGCAGGGGUCUAUAAAGUGAUGGUUGGUUACGAGGUUUUUUGGGGGUUUUUUUUUUGCUCUGAAUGAAAAGGUGGAUGCGCACUUCCAGAUGACACAGUAUGGGUGAUUGAUUACACCUUCCUCUAAG